UACAGGAGGACUCCUGACCCUGUGGGAGGGGCUGGCACUUAACGCUGAGGCUCAGCAACGGUUCAAGCCACAAAGCGCAGUUCGGUUUCGUUUUGUGCCUUUCGUGGAAACGUUUCCGCCUUUGGCGCCGAGUUUAGCUGGUGGGCUCCCAGCGUCAGAAGCCAGCAGAAGGUGAAGAAAAGAAGCGGGAAGGCCUGGCAGCAUUCACCCGCCUUUUACAAACUUCCUCCUCGGUCACGGGCUCGUUCCGAUCCUUGACAACCCAGCUGAUCGGGACUGGAUCCGGAUGGGGUUCCCGGUUGUGCGUUUGGGGUUUCUGUCCGCGGCGAUCGUCCUAUUGCUGCGGGUAGGAUGCGCAGGCUCCUCCUCCCAUUCGUUGCGCAUUUUCUACACUUUGGUCCUGGAUUCCAAACAGGAUGUGCCCCAGUAUAUCGUGGUGGGCUAUGUGGAUGACCAGCUGGCUUCACGCUUUGACCCCCCCACGAGAAGAAUGUUACCCCAAGUGCCCUGGCUCCUUAACGUGAGAAAGGAAGACUUGCAUUUCUGGGAUUUCAUAUCUCAGAGGGUCAGCACCACGGAGCGGAGGUUCAAAAGCGACCUCGCCAUCUUGCACAGCUACCACAACUUCAGCAGAGGGAUUCACACCUGGCAGCGCAUGAUCGGCUGCCAGCUGAGCAGAGAUGGCCACAAGCAGGGGUACUUCCAGUAUGGCUACGAUGGGGAGAACUUCAUCAGCUUGGACCAGCAGACCCUCACCUGGACGGCAGUCGACAUCCGUGCUCAGGUGACCAAGAGGAGGUGGGAAGCUGAGCCUUUCAUCACCCAGAACACGAAUAACUUUUUGGAGAAGGAAUGUAUCCAGCUGCUUCAGAAGUCUGUGUUGUAUGGAAAGGAUUCUUUGUUGAGGAAAGAGCCCCCAUUGGCAAAAGUAUCUCGCAGGAUCCAGUACAACGGUAUGGAGAUCCUCAUCUGCCAAGUCUACGGCUUUUAUCCCAAAGAGAUGGAUGCCACCUGGAGGAAGGAUGGAGAAGUGUGGGAACAGGACACCUUCCGGGGUGGUGUCCUUCCAAACUCAGAUGGGACCUACCAUGCCUGGCUGAGCAUCGAGGUUGACCCGAAGGAGAGGAACCACUAUCGAUGCUAUGUGGAUCACGCCGGGCUGCUGGAGCCUCUGAUCUUGGCCUGGGUGGAGCCUGCGUUCGUAUUCAACUUUGGACUCAUCGCUGGAAUCGUAGGGGUUGUGGUGGCCGUGGUCCUCAUUGCUGCUGGAGUGACUGUCUACUUCAAAAAUCGUGGCAGAAACGCAUACAGAACAGCAUCAGUCAGGCAAAGUCUAAUCUGGUUGCUGAAGUCACACCUUGGAUUCCUGCCUGCCCUGAGAACUCUGACAGGACUUUGGCAAAGCUGCAGAGGCUUCGUGGCCACGCUUGAUACAGACUUUCCAGACCCGGCCGUCAGAGGAGGAGUGGGACACGACAGGAACAGAACAGAAUAAUAGAGUUGGAAGGGACCUUCUAGCCACCAGCCAGGAUUUUAAAAUUCCUCAAAUGAGCUGAAGUGUAUACAUUUUAGAAGUAUCUGCAAUUAAAGCAGUCAAUACUCUUAGGUGAAAGAUUGACCAAACGACCCUAGCAGUUUACUAGUCCGUUUGCUACAACUACUGUUUGAUCAUUGAAGUUCACAUCCUUUUCUCUCUCACAUUCCUAUCUCGUGAGUGACUUGGCAGGUCAAAACAGAGCAAAGGUAUUCUGUCCCCCCACCUCAGUCCAGGAGGCACGUGAACUGACUCAAUUAGCCGGCAAUUUAGUCCACGGCAGCUAUCAGCUCUGGCAGCAAACCAGCAAGUGUCUGCCAAGGUUUUCUUUAUCUUCCUUGAUGCCGGCAUGUCAGAAGCUCGUUACCGGAGUAACCAGGAAGUCAGGAACAAACAGCAAUCCAAGCCAAAUGCUCAGUCAAAUAGUUCAGCUCAAGUGUUCUCCAGUCAGUUUGGUUUGUCCGUCACGAAGUAGUAUAGCAGGCCCUCCUGCUUUUAUACCCUGUGGGGUGUGGCUCCAUGACUCAGCACUUUCUAGGCCUGCUCCACCCCUUCUUCUGUUGUUCCCGCUUCUCUUGUCUACGAAACCGGGGAUCUAACCAGGACUGAUUGUCCACAGCUGGGUCUGGAAGCGUUGCCUGGGUGGGGGGAAGAUACAGAAGACAGAGGCCUGGUCACCUCCUCCACCUGGCCUGCCUCUGGCUCCUGGAGCUGAGCCAGAGAGGCCGGCCCUGCAGAGGGGAGCCCUGAUGGCCCUUCCCCCUCACUCUCUGAGUCACUUUCUGGCAGGGGGCCAGGCCUGGGGGGAGGGCUGGAGCCACAACAAAAGGGGAUCUCCACCGAAGACUUGCUGUGAAUCACUACGUAGCUCCUGAAUGAUCUGGUGUGUAGCUUGAACUUGUUGGUGUCUUACUGAUCAGGAAGAGCUCAAGUUGUUUACAUACUUACCUUGUUAGCCUGUUUCCUAAGGCAGGGCUCUGCAAACUUGGCUCUUUUAAGACUUGUGGACUUCAAUUCCCAGAGUUCCUCAGCCAGCAAAGUUGGCUGAGGAACUCUGGGAAUUGAAGUCCACAAGUCUUAAGAGAGCCAAGUUUGCAGAGCCCUGUCCUAAGGCAUUCAAAGAAAUAUAAACUAGCCAAACACACUGGGAUUGCAUGACAGGCUGAGUUGGAGAAGGACAAAGGAGGGGGCGAAGAGACCCAUUGUGGUUAAACUCUCAGCCUGGAAGUAGGAAGAUCGCCAAACAAGUCCUUCCUUAGUCAUAGAAGUUCUCCAGAAGACCUUCUCACUCAGCCCAACCAACUUCCAGAGCUGGAGAAAAAUUGGAUCACGGAGCCUCAUCCCAAAUGUGCUUUUUUUCAAGAGGCAACUGGACUUUCUUGGUUUUUCUUUGAAGACAUUUUGGCUUCUCAUCCAAGCAGCUUCUUCAGCUCUGACUGGAUGAGAAGCGAAACGUCUUCAAAGAAAAACCAGAAAGUCCAGUUGCCGCUUGUAAAAAAAGCACCUUUGGGCAGGGGUGAAAUGUAAAAAUUGUUACUACCGGUUCUGUGGGCGUGGCUUGGUGUGGGUGGUAAUGUGACUGGGUAGGCAUGGCCAACUUUAUUUUUUACUUUUAAAAGCAUUUUUUCUACAACCUCUUUGGCUGAAGAGGUUGAAAAAAAUGCUUUUAAAAGGCUCUGAUGCUCCCAGCUGAGCCAGGCGAUCGUCAGAGAUUAUUUUUUUUUACUUUUAAAAGCAUUUUUUCGGCCGAAGAAAACAUGUUUUUAAAAGUAAAAAAAAAAACCUCCGAUGAUCGUGUGGCUCAGCUGGGCAUGGGGGUGGGCAAGGAUUUUUGCUACCGGUUCUCUGAACCACCCGCCGCCAUCGCUAAUGGAUCGGGUGAUCCGGUCCGAAGCGGGAGCAUUUAACCCCUUCCUUUGGGACAACCAUGAUCUGGAUGACUGAGAAUCUCCAUAGACAUGGAGCCUUGUAUUGGAUGCCUCAUAUGCUUAAAGAAAAGAUUUGAUAUGAAUUUCACAAAUCUUAUCUACAACUAUCUAUUAGAAUAUAACUAUAACUAUCUAUAUAACUAUCUAUAAUAUAUAUUAUAUAUCUAUAUAACUAUCUAUAACUAUCUAAUAGAAUCAUCUAUUGCAAUGUCCUAAAAGACUACUUCAGCUUCAAUCGCAAUAAUACAAGAGCAAACAAUAGAUUCAAACUUAAUGUUAACCGCUUCAAUCUUGAUUGCAGAAAAUAUGACUUUUGUAACAGAGUUGUUAAUGCUUGGAACUCAUACCUGACUCCGUGGUCUCUUCUCAAACUCCCAAAAGCUUUAACCAAAAACUGUCUACCAUUGACCUCACCCCAUUCCUAAAAGGACUAUACCCCAGUCCUAAGAGGAGCAUAAGUGCACAAAAGUGCCUACCGUUCCUGUCCUAUUAUUUUCUUUCAUUAUAUGUGUUUAUAUAUAAUGUUGUGACAAAAUAAAUAAAUAAAUAAAAUAAAGGGGGCCAAUGAGGCAUAAUGGUGAAGGCAACAGGCUAGAAACUGGAAGAUUGUGAAUUCCAGUCCUAGCUGAGGCCAGUCAUUUUCUUUUAGCCAUAGGAACAAACAUGAGAAAGGAUUUUGCAGUUGCCAGAAUGUGUGUGUGUGUGUAGGUGUGUGUAUAUGUGUACACACACACCACACACCAUACAUAUAUACUGUGUUUCCCUGAAAAUAAGACUUUCAAUUAUAUUAUUUUUUGCUCCAAAAGAUGCAGUAGGACUUAUUUUCCAGUUAGGUCUUAUUUUCAGGGAAAUAUGGUACUAAAUGUGUCUGUCUAGCUGACAAUCUUAAGUGGGGCUUAUUUUGGGGGUAGAGCUUAUAAUACGAGCAUCCCAAAAAAUCAUGCUAGGCCUUAUUUUCCAGAUGGGUCUUAUUUUGGGGGAAAUAGGGUAUACCGUGUUUUUCGGAGUAUAAGAUGCACCAGAGUAUAAGACGCACCUUAGUUUUUGGGGGAGGAAAAUAAGAAAAAAGUUGAUUGGCUGGUGGAUCGGCCUCCUGGAAUACCUCCAAUCAGCUGUUCCCAGAGGUGAAUUUCAGCAACAGGCUCCUUGGUUGUGAGCUCUGUGCCUUACUUUUUCUUUGCUUUUUUUUUUUCUGCCUCUGAAAGCCUGCAAAACAGAACUUCAGAAAAAAAAGCCUCUGAAGCUCUGUUUGGGGGCUUCUUUUCUGAAGCUCUCUUUGGGGCUUUUUUUCUGAAGCUCUGUUAAGCUCCAUUUGGGGCUUUUUUUUUGAGGCUCCAUUUCAGAUGCUUUUUUCAGCCUCUGAAACCUCCAUUUCAGAGGCUUUUUUUCUGAAGCUUCGUUUCAGAGGGUUUUUUUCUGGAGCUCCGUUUCAGAUGCUUUUUUCAGCCUCCGAAACCUCCAUUUGAGAGGCUGGGCAGGGCUACAUUUGGAGUAUAAGACGCACCCAGAUUUUCACCCUCUUUUUUUGGGG